rnacentral:rRNA from 1 species
CCUACGGGAGGCAGCAGUGAGGAAUAUUGGUCAAUGGACGAGAGUCUGAACCAGCCAAGUAGCGUGAAGGAUGACUGCCCUAUGGGUUGUAAACUUCGUUUAUAUGGGAAUAAAAUGUGCCACGUGUGGGAUGUUGUAUGUACCAUAUGAAUAAGGAUCGGCUAACGCCGUGCCAGCAGCCGCGGUAAUACGGAGGAUCCGAGCGUUAUCCGGAUUUAUUGGGUUUAAAGGGAGCGUAGGUGGCUUGUUAAGUCAGUUUUGAAAGUUUGCGGCUCAACCGGAAAAUUGCAGUUGAAACUGGCAGUCUUGAGUACAGUCGAGGUUGGCGGAAUUCGUGGUGUAGCGG